GCCCGCUCCAUUCGUUCCCAUUUCAGUGGACUCAAGCCUAUGGCGCUCUUACCAGCAAUCUCCAUGAGAUAUUUGCGGGGGUGAGUUAUUGAUGCCGGGCUUCUUGAAUCCAUUCCGUUGUUCAUGUGGGGCUUGAACAACGUUUCUGGAGGUCGUUACCCGAUCCCAAGCCUGCCUGCUUCCAUUAGCGGAUGCAAAAAUUCCGAAGGAAAUGGAUGAGAGUGAAGAACGGGGGACUUCUCUUAGCGAGUGCUGUUCAAGAAUUAGAGACAAUAUGAGGCACAAACAAGGAACACAAUGGCUAAAACUGAGCAACUUAUAUUCCUGUAUCCCACUAACUUAAUGUUGCUACAAGAAAUUGCCGAAGGAAAUAGAAAAAAUACUUUAGCAAGUAA